GGGGAUUUGGCUCAGUGGUAGAGCACUUGCCUAGCAAGCACAAGGCCCUGGGUUCAAUCCCCAGCUCCG
rnacentral:tRNA from 1 species